GACGAACGCUGGCGGCGUGCUUAACACAUGCAAGUGGAGCGACGAACCGGGCUUCGGCCCGGGGCAGAGCCGCGAACGGGUGAGUAACACGUGGGUAACGUGCCUCGAUGACUGGGACAACCCGGGAACCGGGCUAUACCAGAUGUGCUCCUUCCACAUCAGUGGAUUGAGGAAAGGUAGCUUCGGCCUCCGCAUCGAGAUCGGCCCGCGGCGCAUUAGCUUGUUGGGAGGUAAUGGCUCACCAAGGCUACGAUGCGUAGCUGGUCUGAGAGGACGAUCAGCCACACUGGGACUGAGACACGGCCCAGACUCCUACGGGAGGCAGCAGUGGGGAAUCUUGCGCAAUGCGCGAAAGCGUGACGCAGCAACGCCGCGUGGGGGAAGACGG
rnacentral:rRNA from 1 species